UACGUAGGGACCAAGCGUUGUUCGGAUUUACUGGGCGUAAAGGGCGCGUAGGCGGCGCGGUAAGUCACUUGUGAAAUCUCUGAGCUUAACUCAGAACGGCCAAGUGAUACUGCAGUGCUAGAGUGUGGAAGGGGCAAUCGGAAUUCUUGGUGUAGCGGUGAAAUGCGCAGAUAUCAGGAGGAACACCGAUGGCGAAGGCAGGUCUCUGGGCCGAUACUGACGCUGAGGAGCGAAAGCGUGGGGAGCGAACAGG
rnacentral:rRNA from 1 species